UUUUUUUUUUUUUGGAUCAGGUCUGCACCUGCAGCAUAUGGAAGUUCCCAGGCCAGGGGCUGAAUUGGAGCUGUAGCUGCCAGCUUAUACCACAGCCACAGCAACACCAGAUUCUUAACCCACUGAGCGAGGCCAGGGAUCGAACCUGCAUCCUCAUGGAUACUAGUCAGAUUCAUUACCACUGAGCCAUAACGGGAACUCCUAUUUAUUUAUUUAUUUACCUAGGCUGUGCCCAUAGCACGCAGAAGAUCCUGGGCCAGCAGUCCAACCCUCGCCACAGCAGUGAGUCACACCACAGCAGUGAAAAUGCCAGGUCCUUAACCCACUGAGCUACCAGGACACUCCCAGACGGAUUUUUUUUUUAAGUUUUAUUGAAGUAUAGUUGAUCAACAGUGCUGUGAUAACUUCUGCUACCCAACAAAGUGAUGUGGUUAUACACAUAUCCAUUCUUUUUUAGAUUCUUUUCCCAUAUAAAUAAUCACGGAAUACUGGGUAGAGUUCCUUGUGCUCCUUUUAAGCUGAGGAGGAGGAAUGACCCUCACUGGUGACCUCUUCACAGAGGACUGGGAAACAAGGGCAGCUUUCUCGAGGGAGCAGAAAGAUUUGCAUAAUUGUUAUGGCGAUUCACCUGUACACCUUAAUUAAAAAAUCUGUUCAUGGGAGUUCCCAUCGUAGCUCAGCGGUAAUGAACCCAACCAGCAUCCAUGAGGAUGUGGGUUCAAUCCCUGGCCUUGCUCAGUGAGUUAAGGAUCCGGGAUCAAACCUGCAACCUCAUGAGUCCCAGUAGGAUUCGUUAACCACUGAGCCACAAUGGGAACUCCUGGUCAUUAUGUUUGUAAAAUACCCUCUACAUUAACCUUUCAGGAGAAGGAGCCUAGAAUUGAAAAGGGUGUCAAUGAACUCUUUUGGGUAAAAGAUUUGGGUACUGAUUUUAUUAGAGGAAAAACCACAUGAGGUUAAACUGUUUGCAUAUGUCCGCAUCCUCAGCACACAGCCCGGCCUGGAAUGCACUGGACACUCCCAAGUGUUCAAACAUCAAAUGAACAACUUAAAGAUGAUGAACUCAAUCACUUCGUAACAGAAGAAAGAAGAACAUUAUGCAUUAGAAGAAGGAAGACGGGGGAAAUAAUUACAGUCUGAAGGCACAGUUUACUUAAGACGUGCUUCUGCUGUGCUAAUCAUAUGUCUUCUUUCUCUGCCUUUAUUUAUUUACUUUUUUGGACUCGCCCAUGGCAUGCAAAAGUUCCCAGGCCAGGCAUUGAACCUGUGCCACAGCACUGACCUGAGCCACAGCAGGGACAACACCAGAUCCUUAAUUCACUGUGCCACCAGGGAACCCCUCUCUGCCUUUAAUCUCCUGGUGGCCAACAUUUGUGUCAUUGCAGGAAGGUGGUAAGGACAGGAAGGGGAAAAGGUACUGGGUCACCACUGCAGCUACCUGCUUGGUGUGUUGAUUCUAGUAAAAAAAAGAUGCUUAAAGAGAGUUAAGCAAAACCUCUCACUCUGCAGAU
rnacentral:lncRNA from 1 species